rnacentral:rRNA from 1 species
GACGAACGCUGGCGGCGUGCCUAAUACAUGCAAGUAGAACGCUGAAGGCGGAGCUUGCUCUUCUGGAUGAGUUGCGAACGGGUGAGUAACGCGUAGGUAACCUGCCUGGUAGCGGGGGAUAACUAUUGGAAACGAUAGCUAAUACCGCAUAAGAGUAGAUGUUGCAUGACAUUUACUUAAAAGGUGCAAUUGCAUCACUACCAGAUGGACCUGCGUUGUAUUAGCUAGUUGGUGGGGUAACGGCUUACCAAGGCGACGAUACAUAGCCGACCUGAGAGGGUGAUCGGCCACACUGGGACGGAGACACGGCCCAGACCCCUACGGGAGGCAGCAGGAGGGAAUCUUCGGCAAUGGACGGAAGUCUGACCGAGCAACGCCGCGUGAGUGAAGAAGGUUUUCGGAUCGUAAAGCUCUGUUGUAAGAGAAGAACGAGUGUGAGAGUGGAAAGUUCACACUGUGACGGUAUCUUACCAGAAAGGGACGGCUAACUACGUG